rnacentral:rRNA from 1 species
GACGAACGCUGGCGGCGUGCCUAAUACAUGCAAGUCGAGCGGAACUGGGGGAGCUUGCUCCUUCCAGUUUAGCGGCGGACGGGUGAGUAACACGUGGGCAACCUGCCCUGCAGAUCGGGAUAACUCCGGGAAACCGGUGCUAAUACCGAAUAGUUUGGCGCCUCUCCUGAUGCGCUACGGAAAGACGGUUUCGGCUGUCACUGCAGGAUGGGCCCGCGACGCAUUAGCUAGUUGGUGGGGUAACGGCCCACCAAGGCGACGAUGCGUAGCCGACCUGAGAGGGUGACCGGCCACACUGGGACUGAGACACGGCCCAGACUCCUACGGGAGGCAGCAGUAGGGAAUCUUCCGCAAUGGACGCAAGUCUGACGGAGCAACGCCGCGUGAGUGACGAAGGUUUUCGGAUCGUAAAACUCUGUUGUGAGGGAAGAACACGUACCAACUAACUAUUGGUACCUUGACGGUACCUCACCAGAAAGCCACGGCUAACUACGUGCCAGCCGCCGCGGUAA